rnacentral:rRNA from 1 species
UACAGAGGUCUCGAGCGUUGUUCGGAAUUACUGGGCGUAAAGGGCGCGUAGGCGGCCUUCUAAGUCGAACGUGAAAUCCCCGGGCUCAACCCGGGAACUGCGUCCGAUACUGGAAGACUUGAAUCCGGGAGAGGGAUGUGGAAUUCCAGGUGUAGCGGUGAAAUGCGUAGAUAUCUGGAGGAACACCGGUGGCGAAGGCGACAUCCUGGACCGGUAUUGACGCUGAGGCGCGAAAGCCAGGGGAGCAAACGGG